rnacentral:rRNA from 1 species
UCGGGAAUUUUGGGCAAUGGGCGAAAGCCUGACCCAGCAACGCCGCGUGAGGGAUGAAGUAUUUCGGUAUGUAAACCUCGAAAGAAUGGGAAGAAUAAAUGACGGUACCAUAUAUAAGCUCCGGCUAACUACGUGCCAGCAGCCGCGGUAAUACGUAGGGAGCUAGCGUUGUUCGGAUUUACUGGGCGUAAAGGGCGCGUAGGCGGCGCGGUAAGUCACUUGUGAAAUCUCUGAGCUUAACUCAGAACGGCCAAGUGAUACUGCUGUGCUAGAGUGCGGAAGAGGCGACCGGAAUUCUUGGUGUAGCGGUGAAAUGCGUAGAUAUCAAGAGGAACACCUGAGGCGAAGGCGGGUUGCUGGGCCGACACUGACGCUGAUGCGCGAAAGCCAGGGGAGCAAACG